rnacentral:tRNA from 1 species
CGAUAGCUCAGUUGGUAGAGCGACGCACUCGUAAUGCGUAGGUCGUGGGUUCAAGUCCCAUUCG